rnacentral:lncRNA from 1 species
AUAACAAUAUCGAAGGAGCAAUACCAACAUGGGUAGGCGAAAACCUACAUCAAAUGAUCAUUUUGCGCCUACGAUCAAAUAAGUUCCAAGGGAGCAUACCUAAAAGCCUUUGCAAUCUAUCACAUGUUCAAGUAUUGGACCUCUCUAACAACAAUAUUAUAGGGAACAUACCUCAAUGCCUUGAUCACGUGACUGCUUUGUCAAAUACAACAUUCUCAAGAGAACCAAUUUCCUAUGAAACGCAUGGAUAUAUUGGCUUUGAAGAUUACAAUUUUGGCUCUUUUAGUGACAAAGCAAUAUUAGCAUGGAAAGGAGAAAAUAGAGAAUAUGGGAAAAACCUUAGAUUUUUGACAGCCAUUGAUCUCUCUUGCAACCAGUUAAACGGACAGAUACCUCAAAGUAUGACAAUACUUAUUGCAUUAGCUAGCUUAAAUCUUUCAAGCAAUAAUCUCACAGGGUUCAUUCCCAACAACAUUGGUCAUAUGGAAAUGCUAGAAUCACUUGACUUGUCAAAAAACUAUCUUUCUGGUACAAUUCCUGAAAGUCUGUCAAAUUUGAGUUUCCUCAGUUAUUUGCAGUUGUCAUUCAACAGCUUAUCUGGAAAAAUUCCAAGCAGUACCCAACUACGAACAUUUGAUGCAUAUACAUAUAUUGGGAACCCUAAGCUUUGUGGACCACCAUUGUCAAAAGAUUGCCCAGAAGAUAUCAACAACACUUAUGGAAACGAUGUUGAAGGAGAAGAUGAUGAUAAUGGAUUCAUAAGCUUUGGGUUCUACAUCAGCAUAGGACUUGGAUUCUUUAUUGGAUUUUGGGGAGUGUGUGGAACUUUAAUCCUUAAGACUUCAUGGAGAUAUGCCUAUUUUCAAUUCUUCAACAACGUCUGUGAUUGGAUAUAUGUGCAACUUCUUCUCUUCAUAGCUAGAAUGAAAAGGAGAUUUCAAGUCCAAGACUAAAAAGGUAAGACCAUUAAUAUCUCAUCUUUUUAAUAUGGAAUGUUACAUUAUUUGUCAUUAGUAAUGACUAUAGAACAUUAAGGCAUCGUUCAAUUUAUGUAGUCAACCCUACUUAAUAGGAUUAAGAGUUAGUUGUUAUUAUUUUUACAUUGUUUAUUAAACAUGAUCUCAUUGCGAUUAAAAGUGCAAUACAACAACCAAACAUAGUUUAUUAGGCGCCACUCAACAGAUGCAAUGGGGCACCUGGGUGGAAUAGGAGGCUGAAAUGUUGUGGCUAGCACCAACACUUACACUCCAUUUUGCAUAUGAUGUUUCUUCUUCAAUUCUUGGUCGAUUUCUGUGAACAAAUAUAAUACUUCUUUCCUAUGUUUUUAUCCUUCUACAUUCAAAUUUGUCACAAACCUUAAUCUUUACAUUCUUUAUGAAGUGUCAAGGUGUUAGGAUUGAUGCUUAGGAACCACUCUUGUUAUUUUUAGCUUCUUUCCCUAGUUUAAGUACCCUUAAUUGAUCUUUGGAUGUUAUAUCAUUUGUUCCCCUCUCUAUUAUUGCAUUGUAGCGUCUACAAUUAAGACUAAUUGAUAUUUUCAUUUACCAAAUCAACUAAUAAUUACUUGUAAGAACAAAUACUUAGUUAACUAAAUAAAUUCUAACAAAAGUAACUUAGAAUUUAAUAAUAAACUAAUAAUUAUUAGGAUAGAUAAAUCAUGAAUAAUAUUUAAGAAACUAAAACAUGUAUAUAACUUUGUAUACCUUGUCCACUAAUAUUUAAUGAUUGCAUGGACUCCAUGAAGUAGUUAAAAUAAGUUUUUUUCCCUCUACAUUUUGCAGGUGAUGCUACAUUUUAGAAGAAGACGUGAGAAGAUAUAUUGAUCAAUUUUAUAGACAUAUAAGCUUUCGAUUUGAUUGGCUUCAGAUAUUUUUAGGCUAUUUCUUUAUCAGGACUUCAAACACUACAAUUUUCUACUUCUAUUUUUUCAUAUUAUACAUACUUUCCGUGCAAUUGUACAAUAAAUCAUUCCAUCUUUUGAAACUUCUAUUGGCCUCUAUUAAAGUGAUAUUUUUUACAUCCUUGGAUAUUAAUAGUGGAAAUUAAAAUAAAUAAUGUGCAUGACUUCAAUUAUUUGUUGUUGCUUUGCUUCAAUGUUUUAAAUUAUUCAAAUUGUAUAUCAAUUUUAAUGAAAUUACUUAUAGAAUAAAAUAUCUCCUAUUUAACCAUUUUUAUAAAAUAAAUAAAAAAAUAAAAAAAUAGUACACAUGUCAUGAUUUUAAUGACUAAAUGAAAUAAUUUAUCUUCUAGUAUAAGAAGAUAAUUUAUUCUCAUUACUUAAACUCUCAAGGUUAGUUGUUGCCAAAUCUCAAUUAAAACGUUGUGGUUCUAAUUCCAAAAUCUGCUAAUGCUGAUAGAAUUGAGGAAUCCAAAUCUAUUACUCUUGCUAAUUUUUAAUUCUAAAAAAUAAUUAAGAGUGUGUUUGGUUUCAAGACAUAUUUUCUAUUUCUAUUUCCUUUUUCAAUUUUAAGAAACAAUUUUCAUUUCCAUGUUUUCAUUUCCUGAAAAUAUGUUUGUUAUUAUCAUUUUCAUUUUCAUAACUAUGCACUCUAAACUUUAUAAACCAGGAUAAAUACUUUUGCAACGAAUCCAAUUCUAAAUUCUAAUCACUAAAGUAGUCAAACCAAUGAUUUUAUAGAAUGCCUACAUAUUUGAUACUUGUAUUUUUUUCCAAUGUAUUUUAUGUCAAUAAUACGUUGAACAUUUUUAGUUGUUGAACUUGGUCAUUUGCUAUUACAAAAGCGUGUGAAAAGUCAUAAUGAGCAUCAUGCAGUUGCAUAUGCUCUCUAAAAAAUGUAAAAUUAAAAUAAAUUACUCACAUACAAGUGCUAUACUAUUUAAUUAAGGUUGCAGUAACAUCAAGAAACGUCAAUUUUCAUCCCUAAAUCAUAUAUUAUCAUAAUCAUAAUCAAACUAUUUCAACAAUAUCAUAAGAGAGACAAAGAAAAGUUAUUAUGUUGAGAGAUAAAGAAAUAAAUUUUAUUAUGAAGAUGUGUGAUAGUAAGGACAAAUGAGGCCCUCGUCAAUUGAUUUCAACAUUUUGUUGAUUAGUGAAGAGAGUAAUUGAAAAUAAUAUUCCCCCCAUUCUACAUCUUUUGAUGUUAAAGGUUAUGCACAUAGUUUCAAAAAAUAUCAAAUGAAGUAAAAAUUCAAUAAAAUUUGACUAAAAUAGUCACAUUUAAUACACAUAAAAAACUGAAUUAAAAAUGAAAUGAAGAAACAUGUUGAGAAAAUAUUAGUAAUAAAUAAUGGUAUAAUUGGAAAGUAAAAUAUAAAUGUAUAUUGGGUUUUCAAAACAUCAAAAGAUUUGGAAUAACAUGAAAAUGUUAAAACAUCAAAAGAUAUAGAUCGAAUGGAGUAAUAAAAGUCUUAAAAUUUUCAAUAAAAUGUCAUUGUCUUAUUAUUGAAAAUAUUGGAAAUGAUAUUUUUUUCAUUUUCAAAAUUUCCAGAAAUGAAGCUCAUGUUUUCAAAAAUAUGAAAUGAAAACAACACAACAAACAUGUUUUCACCCUCAUUUUCUGAUUUCAUUGAAAAUGAAAACAAAAAAUGGUCAAAGCAAACACACCCUAAGGUUUUAGCUUAUAGACUAGUCUUAAUUGCUGCUAGAGUUGUCUCACAUCAGCAAAGGGGUUUCAUCAAAGACAUAUAUAUCCAUGAUUGCAUCUGCACAUCCUCUGAAGCAAUUAUUCUAGUUGAUCACAAAACCUUUGGUGGUAAUAUGGCAAUCAAGCUGGAUAAUAGGAAAGCAUUUGACAUAAUGGAUUGGAACUUUCUGCUUGAUACCCUCAAGGCUUUUGGUUUUCAUGAAAAAUUCAUAAAGUUGAUUAAAAUAAUUAUGCACUCAACCUAACUUUCAAUCAAUGUGAAUGGCCAAAAUGCUGGUUUUUUCAACUGUCUAAGGGGUGCGAGACAAGGGGUCCUCUAAAUCCCUUUAUUUUCUAUUUAGUAGAAGAUAACCUGAGUAGAGGUAUUUCAAAGUUGGUCAAUGAAAACAAGAUUAGUCAUAUCUUUGGUUCUAGAAGAUUGCUCACUCCUAGCCAUGUGCUAUAUGAUGAUGACAUCUUAAUAUUUUGCAAGGGUAUUAAGAGGGAAUUGCUUGCUCUAAAAUAGUUGAUUGCUACUUAUGCUCAAGCCUCUAGAAAGCAUAUCAAUCCUAGUAAAUGCAAGUUCUACACUUCUCAAGGAACAACUAGUAAAAUUGUUAUCUUGUCCUCCUAUUUGGGUUUCAAUGUUGGUGAUCUUCCUUUAAUCUACUAAGUUUCUUUGUUUAAAGGGAAGCCAAUAAGAUUGCAUCUUCUACCCAUUGUUGACAGAAUUACCAGUAAACUAGCUAAGUGGAAAGGGAAAUCUCUACCAAUUAUGGGCAGAGUGGAAUUGGUGAAAUCAGUUAUCUAAAGCAUGAUAGUUUAUAGUUUCCACAUCUAUGCUUGGCCUGCUCAAUUACUCAAACAUUUGGACUCUUGCAUCAAAAAUUGUAUAUGGUCUGGCGAAAUUAAUACAAGAAAGAUGGUCAUUGUGGUCUGGUCUCAAGUGUGCAUCCUUUCAAGAGCGGUGGUCUAGGUCUCAAAUCAAUAAAAAAAUUGAAUCUUGAUGCCCUUCUCAAAUUGGCUUAGGAGAUGUUGAGUUCUGAUCAAGAAUAAGUUGUUUUCUAUAGAAGGAGAUUUGUAAUAAAUCUACUUCAUCCACAAGAUAUUUCAAAUCUUUCUAUUUAACUUGGAAUUCCAAUUAAUUGGAAAGUGCAAAAAACACUUCAUAUGGCUUAUAGGAGAAUGUCACAACAUCAACUUCUGGAAUGAUAAUUAGCAAGGUCAUCCUUUGGUUGAUUCCUUAAACAUUCCAGAUGAAUUCCACACUAGUUUGCUUGUAUCUUUAGUUGAUUUCAUCCAAGAAUCCAAAUGGAUAAUUCCAAUUGGAUACAUCAUCCACAUCGAAUAUCUUCUUGGAUUAUAGAAGGAAAUGGAGUCCUCGGGUGAAGGAUCUUCUUGAUGCCAAUAUCAUUCAUACGUGAGCAUAAUUUGGCAUUGUAGAAACUAGUUCAGGUUUGAGAAUAAGAGGUUCAAUCUACUCCAAGUUAUCACAAAGAUAAAAUUGACCAUAAAUUUUUCUGGAAACACAUCUAAAGCUUGUGCUACUCCUACUUUUUAGGAACUCAACAUUCUAUAAUCUCUAAAUGUCGUCAUAAACUACAACAAAGCUCCAAAAUUAUUGAAGUGAAUUGGUCUCCUCCUAUUAUAGGAAGGGUGAAAAUCAAUUCUGGUGGGGUUGCUCAAGGUUCUCUAGAACAUGCUGGUGGUAGUUCUAUUUUUAGGGAUCACAAGAAUGAUUUUAUGGCCUGCUUUGCAGAUUAUUUUGAAAUUGGCGAUGUUCUUUUCGCUGAGUUGAAUGUUGUUAUCAUGGCAAUUGAGUUUGCUCACAAAAUGGUUGGAACUCAGUCUGGUUAGAAUGUGAUUUGGCUAUGGUAGUUGACAUUUUCAAGUGGAAAGUCAAUGUUUCUUGUAAGUUAUUACACAAAUGGUCUUGCUGCAAAAGGCUAAUGCCUUCAAUGAAGUGUUCAAUGUCUUAUAUAUUCAGGGAAGGAAAUGCUUGUGCUCAUAAACAUUCUAACUACGGAAUCUCAUCUAAGGUUUUCUCUUAUUGGAAUGCAAUUCCAAGUUUCAUUGUUCAUGAUUUUAAUAGGAAUGGGUUAGGACUUCCUGCGUAUAGAUCUAUCUCAAUGUAACUCAUUAUUGUAUCUUCCUUCAUCUAAUAUAUUUCUAAAAAAAUAAUUUCAAAAACUAAAAGAAAAAUUAGUACAUAUGUCAUGAUUUUAGUAACUGGAGGAGAUAACUUAUCUCCUCAGUCAUGGGUGCCUAAUGUUACCAAAGUCCUCAUAUGUCUUGAUCUCUAAGAUAAUUACUUGAAACAUAAUAUUCCAUAAGGAUUAGCAAAUAUGAAUACUAUUUACUCUCAUAGGGAUGGCAAUAUGGGCUUGACCCGACGAGUUAGCCCGUUUGGAUUAUUAUUUUUAGAAAGUCGGGUUGGGAAUUUGAACCCUUUUAGAAAUAAGGGUUGGGUCGGGCUAGCCCAUAUUUUGGCGGGCCAAAGGCGAGUCGGGCUAGCCCUUAUUAUUGUAAACUUUGAAGUUAGAAGUUUUAUUGUGAAUUAGGAGUCUAUAAGUUUUAAACUAAGACGAUAUGUUAUUGUGGACUUUGGUUUGUGAUUUUUUGUUUUAAAAGACAUUUAUGAGGCAUGGUGGUUAUUUAUUUUUGAAAAUGUGAUUGAGUUGGUUAUAAAUGUGUGUUUUAAAAAAAAAAAUGGGUCACUCCUACCAAAUUUGGGUUGGACUGACAUUUUGAACCCUUUAGCAAUAAGGGUCAGGUCAGCCAAUAUUUUAACGGGUCAAAGGUAGGUCGAGCAAGCCCGUAUUGCCACCCCUAGUUAGUUGAAUAUACUAGUGGGGCAACUUUCUAUUCUCCACACUUUGUGCAUCUAUUUAAAUAACUUGAAUGGUGUCAUUGAUGAGACACAUCUAUCAAACCUAUCAAACUUAAGAAUUUUGGAGGUGGGUCAAACUUCACUUUCAUUCAAAUUGAUUUCAAGUUGGGUUCCACCUAUCUAACUGAUUAGAUAUAUUUAUCGGUGUUUCAAAUUAUGUUCAUAGUUGUGGUUAUCUUACAUUUAUUAUAAUUGUGGAAAAAUGUAGUAGCAAUUGGGGUCUUGAUGUCAUUGUAGAGUACAAUCUAAAAUGAUGAUAUGCACCAUCAUGCAUUUUGGGCCAUACUUUUCCAUCUUGGCUCAAGCUUUCUAGGCUACUUGACUGUCUACAAAUUUCUAAUAUAAUUGUGCUAUUUCAGGUUAGCUUCCUAAUUGGUUUUUGGACCUAUCUCCAAGUGUGUUCUACCUAAAUGUUUCUCAUAACAAAAUCUCAAAUAAUAUAUUCUGAGAGUCCAUAUCUUCUUUUUGUUAAACACCAUUUUCAAUGUUAACCAUUCUAGAUAUGUCUAACAACUUUUUAGAGGGGCAAUUACCUGACUCUUUGGAAUUGUUUUCGAUUAUUACAAGUCCUGAAUUUGGAAAUUUAUGUGUUCUCAAGGAGAAAACCCAAGUCAUUAAUUUAUCACUUUUCAACAAAUUAAAACAAUACACUUGAUCGCAUAAUUGUUUUGUCAACUAUAAAAUUUCCAAGAAAAUAUAUUUUCUAUUUGGCAAGUGGAUUUAUCCCUAAUGUUGAAGGUGACCAAAUUGGAUUGUACACUAACCAAGCAAUAUUUUUAUGAAAAGGGAAAACAUAUAAUAUGAAGAAAAAAAUAUUGGGUUUCUAAUAGUCAUUGAUCUUUCUUACAAUCAAUUAACAGGACAUACCUCAUAGCAUAAUAAGCACAGCAAGGAACCUUUGAUGCCUCUAAAGAUGGUAUGGGUGGACAUCUUAGGUUAUUUUCACAAACAUGAAGUGCGUUGUGCUAAUUUGUAUCAUUGUUACAUUUUCCUUACUUGCUAUGACAAUUGAUUGAAGGGUGACAAAGGAACCAAAUGACUAAGAUAUGAUUUUUAUUAAUUUGGAUAAAGUGUGUGAUAAGUUGUUUUGAGUUGUAUUGUGAAAAACUUAAGAGACAAAACGAGUUUAGAUUAUUGACAUUUGAGUAAUUAAAGAUAUGUGUGAUAAGUUGAAACUAGCGUUAGAAUAAUAAAUGAAAUAUAGGAAGAUUUUCUAAUUGUGAUAGGACUAGACCAAUGGUAAACAUUUUGAGUCCAACUUGUUUAUAUCGUUCUUAAAUUUGUUUUAUGAGCAUAUCCAAAAUAUAUGUGUCACGAUAUUGUUGAUCUUAAAUAUAUAAAAUUUAUUUCUCCUAUGUAUUAAAGUAGCUUUAUUGUUGUUAAGUAAUAGAGGAUAUUAAUUUGGUCAAUGUUUUUUUAGAAUGGGCAUCAUUCUCAUUGGGUACAGUUUAUUUUUUAUUCAUAAAAUUAUUUAUGCAAACUUAUUUUAUUAACAAAUUUAUAUAAUAUAUUUUUCUUAAAAUGUUGUUGUUUUGAACUCUAUAAACUUAUUAAAGUAUUCUUCAUAGCAACAUUACUUGAAAUUGUUAAUAUCAAUUCAUAAAUAAUAUAGGUAAGUGAAUAUGAAGAUAGCCUUUUUGAAAUUUUCGUCCUUUCAAAGUUAGAAUAGUUUUGUGUUCAUUUUAGUUUAAAUGUUUAAAUUUUUCUUAUAAAAAGAUCGCCAUUAAACACAUUAAUAGAGAUUUGCUUAAGAAAUGAUGGAUGGAAAUAAUAUAUCAUAAUUGCAGAAAAUAAUGAUACACUCUCUUAAAUAGAAAAAAAUUGACUGAAAACUAUUGGUUUGGAAUCAAAGCUAAAUUAUUUUUUAUUACUCAUUCUAAUCAAAAUUCUAAAGAAAACAAACCAAUAGGUCUUAUUUAGAAAAACACUAGAUUUCUAAUUCUUAAUAGUUAAACAUUGGGGCAACUUUCUAAUCUCCAUACUUUGUCUAUCUAUUCAAAUAACUUGAAUGGUGACAUUGAUGAGGCACAUCUAUUAAACCUAUCCAACUUAGGAAUUUUUUUGGAGGUGGAUCAAACUUCAUUUUUCAUUCAAAUUAAGUUCAAGUUGGGUUUCACCUUUCCAACUGACUAAACUACAUGCAUCAGUAUUUUAAAUUACGGUUGGUAUUAGUCACAUUUACCACAAUUAUGGGAAAAUGUAGUUAUUGUUGUGAUACAAUUGUAGAGUACAAUUUAAAAUACUAAAUGUAUCAUCAAGCAUUUUGGGCUAUAUAUACCUUUCCAUCUUGGCUCAAGUAUCAUAGGCAACUUGAUAUUCUCCAAAUUGAGACAAUACACUUGAUCGCAUAAUUGUUUUAUCAACUAUAAAGUUUCCAACAAAAACAAUUAUCUAUUUGGCAAGUGGAUUUAUCCCUCAUGUUGAAGGUAAAAAAUGGCUUGUACACUAACUAAGCAAUAUCUACUAUUUAUUAUGUAAGAAUUGAAGGUGCUGGUGGUGUUAUUACAAAAAUGGACAUCCUCUUUAAUUGACAUUUGGAUUUAAAAUGGAUGAACUUGUCAUAACAUCUUUUCUUUUUAAGGUAUAGACUAAUGAAGUGAGAGAAACAAAUGCCAUUUAUUUUCAAAUUUUAAAACUUUUCGUAUUAAUCUUUCUCUCUACAUUCAUUUUUUAUUUUUUGAAAAUGAAGAGGUCAGUCUAUAUCUUUUCCAUUUGUUUUUUUUCAAUUCAUUUUUCAUAUCAUUCUCUCGGAGAAAUUUUCUUUUCUCAGACUCACCAAACCAUCUUCUACAUUUUUUUCUUCAUCCUUCCUUUUUCAUCCUAGCUAGGCACAAUUUUUUCAUCUGUGAAACUCAUCGAUAGGUUCUUUGUUUAGAGGUAUGAUUUUUCCUCACAACUUCUUAUAUGUACAUUAUCUCACUCUAUCAACCUUCUUUAUCAUCGGAUCUCAUAAUUUUUAAUUAUUUGUAUUUGAAGAGGUGAUGAGUCAUGAUAGUGUUUCUAACAUCUCACACUUACCUCUAUUUCUACUCACUCAUUCACUCAAAGGUAUGUCUUUUCAACAAAGUUUACUAAGAAUGUAACAUUGUUUCCUAACAAGUUAAUAUUUUCUGGUCAUUUUUCUAGAUGAAUCUUAUUUUAUUUCGAAUCAUUGUUUUGAUUUCUCAUUAUACCUCAUUUCAAAUUUUUUGGUGUUAUUUUUUUGUUAAAAUGUUUACUAUGUCACUUUUUAAGCUAAUAAUGGUACAAAUGAAAUUUUUUCUACAAUUUUUAGUUCAAUGUCGUAUGAUAUUAGACCUUCUUCUGCAUUUUAUGUGUCUUAGUUGUUCUGUUUCAAACUAUAGUGUCCAUUUAGUUGUGUUACUUUCUCUAUAUAUCCCAUUUUUUCUCAUUCUCUCUCUUGCUUCCAUCAUCUAUUGCCUUUUCCAUUUUCCUUUUUCAAUUUCAUAGAACACAUUGACUCACUCAUCACCUUCCUCACAUUCUAUAUCCUAUGUUUUUAUCUUUUAGUCUAGCUUUCUCUUAGUCUGUUAAUUUUCCCUUAUUCUUCUUUAGCAUUAUGGUUCAUAAGCAAAAGAAAGGUUACAAAGUGUUAUAGAGGUCAUGGGAGCUCCAAAGGUAGAAGAGGUAGCUACCUACCAAUGGACCAACUUCAAAGCGAAUAUUGUAUAGAUUCAAACGCAUCUUGGGUUAUGUUAAACGUUAAUCCUUCCUCAACUUGCAUUUUCAGUUUAUUGGAUAAAUUGAAUUCUUAUUUUUUUGUUCAAUGUCCAUUUUUGACUAAUAUUGAUAUAUAUUUUUUGAACUAUUAAUAGCCCUGGAAACCACUUACUCACUUGCUCAUGAGAAAGAAAUGGAAUAGAAUAUUAUUGAAAUUUAGAGUGUGUAGAUUUUUAGGAAAAGUGACAGUUUUGUGAUUUAGAAUAGAAUAUGAGGAUGGGUAUUGAUGUAUGAGGAAAGGAUAUUUGAUUUUCGGAGUGGUGAAGUGGUACGGCUCAAAUUGGACGAAACUCCACAUGUAUCUCUCAAAUUGAAACGAACACUUGAAUUUUAAAGGGGUGAAUUUGUCAUAAUGUAUUUUCCAUUCAAUUUUUAUAUCAGUCUCUCUCUUUAUCCAUUUUCAUAUCAUUAUUUUGUGUGAGUGAAAUGUCAUAAUCCAUUUUCAUAAUUAUUUUAGUGUACAAUAACAUUCAGCAAUUAUAUUAUGUUAUAUAUAUAUGUACUAUAAAUAUUUCCUAAAAUCUAAAAGUUAAAUUUUCUUUCAUAGUUAUUUCACUAAAUAGCAUUGUAACGCAAUUAGAAGUAAGUGUAUAUAAAAGCAAUCAUAAAAUAUAUAUAAACUAUUAGUAUUAUAUGACAUAUUUUACUUAUGUUUGUUUGAAAUAUUUUUUAUUCCUUCAUUUUAGACAAUGUUUAUUAUGGAUAUAUAUUUAUAAUGGUUUAUUAUUUGAUUCUAAAAUAACCUCUAACAAAUAAAAUUCAAUCAUGUGGAAUUAUUAUCGGUUACUAUUGAAAUAAUAUAUUCUUGUAAACAUUCUUUUUAUUUGUAUGUGCUCAUUGUAACAGUUUUUUAAAAUGUAUGACAUAAUAUAAAUUUCAAUAUACAAUAGAGUCUAUAAUACAAACAAUAAAAAUAUCAAUUUAAAUAUAUAUAUAUAUAUAUAUAUAUAUAUAUAUAUAUAUCAUAAAAGUGACAUUUUUUAUUAGGAAAAUAUAUAUAACUAUUCUUUAAAAUAUGUACAUUAAAAUAUAACAGUUGUUCGUCGUUUGAAAAAUAAUAGAAAUAUCACAACUCUAAUACUACACUAAAUUUUGUAUUUUGUGGAGGUUUUUGUGUGGAGGUUAUUCAAACCUCCACAAAUAAAUAAAAUAAGUCGUGACAAUUAACUAAAUAUAUUAUAAAUGUGAUCGUUUUUAUUAAGAAAACGUGUACAGUUUAAAACAUGUACAUUAAAAUAUCACAAUUGUUUGUCAUUAUAAAAAUAAUAGAAAUAUCACAAUUCUAAAUGAUAUACUGAAAAAUAUAUCUUUUAAAUAAUAGAAAUGAAACUUCAAAUUUUUUUUUAUAAAAUGUAAUUUCUAUAUGUAAAAGGAGUAAUGUAAACAAUAAUACCAAUAGGAAAGAUUGGUGUAAAGGCAUAUUAAUAAUCUUCUAUUAAUAAUAUGGCACAUGUAAACAUUGAUUUUUUAAUAUUGUUGAUGUUAAAAAUAGUUUAAAAAUGCACAUUUAUGAUUGUAUGAAUUUGGAAUAUUAAAAACAUCAAAUCUUUAGUAUAAAACAUAUUAAGUAUCAAUCUAAAAUAAAACAUAAUCAUUCUAGAUUUAUGCUAAUAUUGUGCAUGUAAACAUUCAAUUUUUUAAACAUAAUGAGAAUCAAUCUUUCUCUUUGUACUACAAGGUUAUUUUGUCACCUUGUAGGGUAAGGAACUAAUCCCUUUUUAGAGUGUGUGACUUCCCUCCUAACGAGUGUCGCUCCUAGAAAUUGGACCUUUAUCAUUUUGGUCGUUCUAAGCAUCAAUCUAAAAUAAAACAUAAUGAAUAUACUAAAAAAUACCUUUUAAAUUUAUAUUGUACUUCUAAACAUAAUCCCAAAAAAUAUAGUGCAAAAAUAAAUCCUUAUAUUUAUAUAGAGAAUAUAGAGGAGAGAUACUAUCUCAUAAUACAAAUUGAAUUUUAUUUGAUACGAGUUAUAUUAGAAAUACUUUAAACAAUCAUACUUUUAACAAUAGUUCGAACUUGGUUUGUUGGAGGUCAUUAGUGAGAACUUUUAGGUGAGAAAUCUAAAAAUUCUCAAGUCCCACAUAGAAGAGUUUUGAAAAACAACUCCCAACUCACACAUAGGAGAGAUGAGGAACUUGGAGAAAAUCACAUGUUAUAAAUAGAAGUUUCAUCCAUUCAUAUUUUAUUGCCCCAAUUUGAAUGUGAUUUCAUUCAACUUUCUUUUUUCUCCCUCAUAUUUUCUGCCGACGUAUUUCCGACAAACUUCUCCCCUUUCUUUCCAUGGCACUAAGAAUUGGCACAUGCAGACAAAUCGUAGAAAUUUUGAGAACUGAUACUGGUAAUCAGAUUGAGGGAAAAGAAUUGGAACGAGUAGCCAUAUUGUGGGCAUUUCGAGGGUAGUCAGAUUGUGGAAAAGUAAUUGGCACAGGUAACCAUAUUGUGGGGAUUUCGAGAAUUGCCACAAGUAGCCAUAUUGUGGUGGGUGUAUUCGAGAUUGAGUCUUACAAUGCAUUAAGAAUUCAAUAAUAGAGAUAUGAGUUGUUUUAUCCUGGAGACAGCGUAAUUGAUAGUCUAUUUGCACAUUUUGGGCAAUGCCACGAAACGUCUUAGAGAGAGCGACAUGGGCGUGACUCAUCCAAUAAGUAUUAUUUCGUGUCAUUUAGAAUUGUUGCAAGCUACAGUGAAAGCAACAACCAAUGUUGCUAAUAAUUCAUACAAUCAUAAUUUUAUGAAUUUUUGGUAUAGCAAAUUUAAAUUGGGUAUAACAUUAGGCAAUAACAAUGUAACCACAAUGAUAAUAUUAACAAGAUAAUGGAAAUAUUGGAUAUAAUCAUAAAAUAAUUUGAUUCUCUAUAAAUAUAUACUUGAUUAAAUUUAUUUGGUAGCUUGAAACAUUAUUUUAUUAUAUUCAUUAUCAUGUAAUGGCUAAAUUUAUAUGGUACUCAUACUAUUUGUGGUAGCGGAUACCCAUAAGUAUGUUUUCCUAAAAUUUAGUUACACUUUUAUUGAUAUUCGUUUACAUUUAAUUUGUGAAAAAUUAUGGUUGAUUACUUAUAUUUUACACAUUGAAUUUGUUAUUCCUUGCAUUGUUUGCAGUACUUAUAUGAGCGAGUACAGUUAAUGCUUACCCGUAGACAUACCUAACUAUUUGCAGAUACUCAAGUGGGUAGUGUUAAUUGCAAAAAUUUCCUUAAAUAAUAAGGAUAAUUAAGCACAUUUUAAUCUUAAAUGUCUACAUAAAUAUAAUUCAUACUAUAUAUCGAGUCAAAUAUUUGCACAGAAUUUUAUGACAUGUGUUUUUAUGAUAUUUCAUAUGAGUAGAGGCUAAAAUGAGCAAAAGAUGCUAAAGGAGAACUUAACUCUAAUCACAAUAUUUGAAGAUAAUGGUUCAAUCACCUAAUUCUAAUCAUAAUCUUUGACGAUAAGAACUCAACCACCUAAUCGUAAUCAUAAUAUUUGAAGAUAAGGAAAAUAUAUGGAAAAAUAGAAUAAAUAGGAGACUAGCUAUAAGUUGAAGGCAUCACUCGUCAUCACUGAUCAUCACUAAAUAUCACUUAGAGGAUAAAAUAUUAGGAUUGAGACAAUAACCACUAUAGGAAGCUUGGAAAGAAGAAGAAUCUCAACCAACCAAAUGGCUAUAGCUUCCAUGGGAAUGAGUAGCUAAAUCCUCAUAUCUGGGGUUAGAUGUAAUUAAUUGAAAUCGAUGUGUUCAAUAUGACUAUUUAAUUGUUUAAUAUUAUUCUAUUGAUUUUUCUUGAUUAUUCUUAUUCUUAAUGAUUGUUUUCAUUUGAUCACCCAAUGCAUGAUUUAAGGUUUAAAAAUGAGUAAUGGGAAUUUAUAUGUUUAAACUAGAUCUAGAAUAUAUGAACUAGUAACAUAUUGAUGUCUAGGAAUAUAAUUAAUUGAACAAGUCAUUCUAACAUCCACAUUAUUAUGAUUAAAUGGUUAAUUUGUCAAGCAAUUGAGAAUUAGUUUAUUUAUUCAUUUGAUACGUUUAGUCAAAGAAUUGAUGAAUAGAUAAGAACUAGUGGUGGAGAAAUCAUAGGAAUAAUCACAUAUGAAUAUCAGUAUUGGAUAAUAGAGGACAAAUAGUGAAAUCUAACCUCAAGCUCUUUAUCUCUCAACUAAAUAUCUUCAAAUCGGUUGCUUUUAAAUUAGUUUAAUUUUAAUAUUUCACUAAAUCAAAACCUUUUUCAACCCAAAUUCAAUUAUUUUAUAACUAAAAGAAUAUCAAGCAAGUCAUUAUGGAUUCGACAAUCUUAUAUGCUUGUUUGUGACAACUUGUUGAUUAAAAAUAAUAACCAAUUUGUCGGUUAGCAAAAUGGCACCGUUGUUGGGUACUUGCGUCUAGAUAUGUUAUUCUUUAGCAAAUUUUAUUUUAUUUCGUAUUUUUAAACUUCUUUGUUUAUUGUGGUUUCGUAAGAUUGCAAAAAAAAAAAAUCUAUUUUUAAUUCCUUUUUUAUUUCGUCCAAUUUAUUUCUCUUGACUAACUAAUCUAUGUUGGCAUUUCUUUUUACUCUUAAUCUAGAAAAAAAAUAUAAGAAGAGAGUUUUAUUUUUCUUAUUUCCUUUUCAUAUCCUACAAGAAGAAGCCCAAAAACAACAAUCAAUGACUUCAAGAAAUCAUGGGGCACAAUGAUCCAAGCCAUCUCACAAGUCUCAAUAGACUCCUAAGAAAUGCAAAGUAUACUGCAGUAGAUCCAGAUUUUAUUCAACUUCCAUAUGCUAACCCAUUUGCAGGACUAGACCAUGAGGAUCCAUAUUCUCACAUGGUUACAUUUUAUGAGCUAUGUGGGACUGUUGGAGUCUCAGAAGAAGAAGAAUCGUUAUUUUUUAGGUUGUGCACAUUCUCCUUGAUCAGGAAAGCCAAGGAUUGGUUAUUGGACCAACCAUCACAAGUAAGGACGGAUUGGAACUGGUUGGAGGAGAAUUUUAUAAACCAUUUUUUUCUCAUAUACCAAAUUCAUGGAGGCUAAAGUAACAAUAUCUAUUUUCUCUCAAGGAGCAAAUGAAGCUUUAUGUGAUGCAUAGGAGAGGUACAAAUUAAUGCUAAGAAAGUGCCACAAUCAUGGCUUUGAUGAGCUAACACAAAUCUAUAUUUUUCGAAAUGGAUUUUAACAACAAUACAAACUAAUCUUGAUGCUACAACAAGUGGUUCGUUGAUAGAAAAGAGUUAUUAAGAAUCCAUAAAAAUUAUUGAAGCAAUGACCACUAAUGGUCGACAAUGCCAACAUGAGAGAUGAGUAUUGGAAUUGGGCGCUUAAGACGCAGUGUUAGCUCAAAACAAAAUAUUAACUUGACAAUGGAGAAACUAACUAAGUAGAUAUCGAACCUUCCAAAAAAAUCAGUGGAAUGCAAGAAUUAGCAACUAUUGUGGUCCUCCAAUUCCGCAUGAAGAGGAAGUGCAAUACAUGGGAAAUCAGCAAAUGCACGAUCAACAAUACCAAAGCAAUUAUCCCAUGGGAGACAACCAACUAUACACACAAUCAUGAAGGCAAGACAUAGAACCUUCAAAUAUAGAAAGAGUAAAAUAAAUAAAAAUCAUGGUGAAAAAGGAAUGGUACAAAAAGAUUUAAAAUUAUUUAAUGAGUUCAAGUAUAGAGAGUAAAAUAAAUAAAAAUCUAGUAUGCUCUCUUAACUUCAUAGGAACUUUGAUAUCCGAAAAACCAUAUUCUUUGUAGAUGAAAGAAACACAUUCCACCUAUUUUUGCAUCGAUUGUCAUAGUUGGUGAGCUCUACCUUUCUUGAUCGACUAACAAUGGAUUGCAUGUUGAGAACACUUAACUAUUACACAACUAUUUAAUUGCAUAGAUUUGUAUUGGGCACCAUACAUUUCUUUGAAUUGUUUACUCUUAAGUUUUGUUUUAUGAAUGUUGGAUGAUUAAAGUUGAUAUUCCUUGAACAAUGUUGAACAUAUUGGGAAGUUUACUGUUCUAAAAAAUUUCUGCAUGCACACUUGUUGAGUCUGGACUUGUACUUUUGUUUGAGGACAAAUAAAGUUUUAAGUUGGGGAGAGUUGUUAAUUGUGAAAAUUACCUAAAAUAAUAAGGAUAAUUAAGCACAUUUUAACCUUAAAAGUCUACACAAAUGUAAUUCACAAUAUAUAUCGAGUCAAAUAUUUGCAUCAAUUCUAUGACAUGUGUUUUUAUGAUAUUUCUUUCAGGUGAUUAGAGGCCAAAGGAGCAUACUCAGCAUAGGAUGUCAAAUGAGAUCCUCAUGUUAAUCACAAUCUUUGAAGAUAAUGGUUCAACCACCCAAAUCUAAUCACAAUCUUUGAAGAUAAUGGUUCAACCACUUAAUUCUAAUCAUAAUCUUUGAAGAUAAUGAAAAGAUAUGGAAAAUUAGUAUAAAUAGGAGGGUAGCUAUGGGUUGAAGGCAUCACCCGCCAACACUGAUCAUCACUGAUCAUCACUAAACGCCACCUAGAGGAGAAAAUAUUAGGAUUGAGACAACAACCACUCUAGGAAGCUUGGAAAGAAGAAGAAUAUCAACCAACCAGAUGGCUAUAACUUCCAUGGGAAAGAGUAGCUAAAUUCUUCUGUCCAAUGUUAGAUGUAAUUAUUUGAACAUGAUUGUCCAAUAUGACUAUUUAAUUGUAUAAUAUUAUUCCAUUAUUUUUACUUGAUUAUUCUUAUUCUGAGUGCUUGUUUUGGUUUGAUCAUCUAGUACACGGUAAAAGGUUUAAAAAUGAGUAAUGGGAAUUUCCAUGUUUAAAUUAGAUCCAGAAUAUAUCAACUAAUAACAUAUUGAUGCCUAGGAAUAUGGUUAAUUGAACUAAACAUUCUAACACUCAUAUUAUUAUCAUUAGAUGAUUAAUUUGUCAAGGAAUUGAGAAUUAAUUUAUUUAGUCAUUUGAUCUGUUCAGACAAAGAAUUGAUAAAUAGAUAAGAACUGAUUGUGAGAAAAUCAUAGAAAUAAUCAUAUAUGAAUGUCAUGAAUGGGUACUAGACGACAAAUAGUGAAAUCUAAUAUCAGGAUUUUCAUUUCUUAACUUAAUAUAUUCAAAUCGCUUACUUUUACAUUUCACUAAAUCAAGACAUUUUUCAACCCAAAUUUAAUUAUUUGUUAAUUAAAAGAACAUUAAGCAAACUCUUGUGGAUUCAACAAUCUUAUAUAUUUGUUUGCGACAACCCAUUUGAUUAAAAAUAAUAACCAAUUUGCCCUUUAGUAGCAUAUGGAAAACGAAGCACUUUGUAGAAGGAAAGGUGGAUCAUAGACCCACAUAAACAUUGGUUUAUAUUAUUCGAAGUAAAUUUUGUAGAAGGAAAGGAGACGUGAUCGGUUUUCCCUUUUGUGCUAUUUAUAGGACCAUGUUCAAAGCACAUUAAGCUUUGUCUUAGUGGUGGGUCCAACCAGAAAACUAAUGAACCACCUAUUGGAUAAUUAUAUGGAAUAUGCAACUAAAUUGGUUAAUAUCAGUCAAAUUGUAUCAUACUAUAUUAUCAUAACCAAUUUGUGAAUGAAAAAUUUAGUAUUUUUCAAAGUCUUACAAUAAGUAUUCAAACCUAGAAUUAAAUAGUUGUUUGUAACAUAGUAUCUUUUCAUAAUUGAGUUAUAAAUCGCAAACAAUAUAUAUAUAAAUAAAUAUGUAUAUAUUAAUAAAUACAUUAUAUUUAUUACAAUAUAUAUAUAUAUAUUUUAAUCAAUAUGCAGUUUAAUUAGUAAAUUAUUGUACUACUAUAUUAGUAAUUUGACUGGUAUAAUAAUCAAUACAAUAUUAAUAACACUAGUUCAAAGUUCUAUUUGAAAUAAAUGAAUUUAUUAUUAAAAUAUAUUUAUUUACUUAAAUAAUAAAUAAUAUGUGUAGAAAGAUAAAAUGAUUUGGUUUUAUAAAUGAAGAACAAUUUUUGAUAAACUACAUACAAUUAUUAACCGAUUUAAUGAUAUUUCCAUAUUAUUAAACGGACUUGGCGGAGAACCACACAAGUCACACAAGUCUUGCCCCUAGCUUAAGUUUAGUUGACUAGUGAGUAUGACUGAUAAGGAAGUCUUCAUCCACAAAAAUUGUGAUAAUAAAUAAAUUCCUAAAGAAAUUUUGCCAACAAUUCUUGACUUUGAAAUACAAGGCAAUUAUUAAACAAAUAGCUCGCUCAAGUCUUGCCCCUUAGCUUAAGUUUAGUUGACUAGAGGACUAUGGUUGCUUAUAAUUACCUACAAACAUAAAUAUCCCACAAAAACAUUCCAAAGAGAGUUGAGUUGAUAACCAUGUUUACUUCCAGGUUCUAUCUUUUUUGUCUUGUAACCAUUCUAUACAUUUGUUUAUGUGUUGGAAAUUCCAACAUUAAGAAAUGUGUAGAGACAGAAAAGAAUGCUCUUCUAAAGUUCAAAGCUAAGGUGAUUGAUAAAAAUGACUUUCUAUCAUCAUGGAAAGGUGAAGAAGAUUGUUGCAUAUGGAAAGGAGUCACAUGUGAUAAUUCAACUGGUCAUGUAACCAUGUUGGAUCUCGUACCUCCAUACAUCAACCAUCAAUUUAUACCACAACUUGGAGGUAACAUAGAUUCUUCACUAUGUCAAUUGCAACAUCUAACUUCCUUAGAUAUCAGUUUUAAUCAAUUGGAAGGAAAAAUCCCAGAGUGCAUUGGAUCACUUGUUCAAUUGACAGACUUGAAUCUUCACAAUAAUGGACUUGUUGGUGCCAUUCCUCAUUCUCUAGGAAACCUCUCCAAUUUGCAAAGUCUUGACCUUAGUAGCAAUGUGUUUUUGUUUGCAAAUGACCUUGAGUGGGUCUCUACCCUUUCUAAUUUGAGAUUCCUUGAUCUUUCAUAUAAUAAUCUUAGUCAGGUUGUUGAUAUACUAUCACCAAUAACCAAACUCCCUGAUGUAUGGUAUGUUGGUUUAGAUUUUUGUGGACUCCCUCAAUUCAAUCUUAAAUCUAUUCCACUUAUAAAUUCUUCCAAUUCUCUACAUUCUCUCGGUCUCAGAGGUAAUUACUUUAGCUCUCUAUCAUGGGUGUUUAAUGUUAGCAAAGUCAUUGGAUAUCUUGAUCUAUCAUUUAAUUCUUUGCAACAAAGUAUUCUGGAUGAGUUCGAAAAUAUGACUUCUCUUGAGUGUCUACGUCUUUCAAAUAAUAAACUCCAGGGUAGCAUACCAAAAUCUUUUCAGAGUUUGUGUCAACUUGAGAUAUUAGAUUUGUCUUCCAACAAAUUGUCUGGCCAAUUUAGUGAUUAUAUGCAACAUUUGUGUUCAGGAGGAAAUGUUAUUAUAGAAUUGGAACUUUCAAAUAAUCAAUUAAAUGGGACACUUCCAUAUAAUAUUGGGCAACUUUCUAGUCUCCAACGUUUGUCUAUCUAUUCAAAUCAGUUUAGUGGUGUCAUCAAUGAAUCGCAUCUUUCAAACCUAUCCAACUUGGCCUAUUUGUAUGUGGAUAGAAAUCCACUUUCAUUUAACCUGAGUUCAAAUUGGAUUCCACCUUUCCAACUUAUUCAUCUAUCUGCAUCUUCAUGCAAUUUGGGGCCUAACUUUCCAUUGUGGCUCAAACAUCAAAGGAAAUUAAUGUUGUUACAAAUUUCCAAUAAUGGGAUUUCAGAUUAUUUUCCUGAAUGGUUUUGGGAGCUAACUCCAAGUUUGGCAUACCUGAAUGUUUCUCAUAACAAACUUAGUGGAGUCUUGCCAAAAUCAAUACUAAAUAUGGAAAAUGGAUUAUCAGAAGUUGCAUGGGAUUUUAGUUUCAACAAUUUUUCAGGUCCACUGCCUAGUUUUCCACCACAACUAACUCUUUUGAGUGUCUCAAAUAAUAUGUUUUCACGAUCCAUAUCUUCUCUUUGUGAAACAUCAUAUCAGAAUCUAGCUUAUCUUGAUUUGUCUAGUAACUCCUUAUCAGGGAGACUAUUGGAUUGUUGGGGACAAUUUCAAAAUUUACAAGUCUUGAAUCUGGCAACAAAUAAUUUCUUGGGGAGAAUACCAGAUUCCUUUGGCACCUUACAAAGUAUUGAGACAAUCCAUUUAAAUAACAACAAUUUCACUGGCGAGUUUCCACCUUUGGCUAAUUGUAGCAACUUGAAGUUGAUCGAUUUUGGGGAUAACAAUAUCGAAGGAACAAUACCAACAUGGGUAGGUGAAAACCUACAUCAAAUGAUCAUUUUGCGCCUACGAUCGAAUAAGUUCCAAGGGAGCAUACCUGAAAGCCUUUGCAAUCUAUCACAUGUUCAAGUAUUGGACCUCUCUAACAACAAUAUUACAGGGAACAUACCUCAAUGCCUUGAUCACAUGACUGCUUUG